AAUUCUUCUCCCUAUCCUCUUCCCUUUACCUUCACCUAAGCCCUUGAUAUGCUCGCCUGUGAAACUCGAUUAUUUGAAUGGGUUUGGAUUCGAAGUCUCCAUGAGGUGAGGGAGACACCUCUCAGGGUUAUAUGGAGGGCUUACACACGGUGUAGUUGAGGAGGUGGGAUGGUGCCUCGACACAUUGUCCUAGGACUUUUAAGAGUGCUAUGACGGUUCUGGUUCUGUGUAGCUUGUUCUUUACUAGUAUAAGGAAAUGUGUAGAUGUCUUCAUUUUAUAUGUAAAAUACCGGAAAAAUGACGGAUAAUAAUAAGGGAAAUUUUCGAAAUUUUUAGAAA